UACGAAGGGGGCUAGCGUUGCUCGGCAUCACUGGGCGUAAAGCGCACGUAGGCGGCUUUCUACGUCAGGGGUGAAAUCCUGGAGCUCAACUCCAGAACUGCCUUUGAUACUGGAGAGCUCGAGUCCGGAAGAGGUGAGUGGAACUCCGAGUGUAGAGGUGAAAUUCGUAGAUAUUCGCAAGAACACCAGUGGCGAAGGCGGCCGACUGGUCCGGUUCUGACGCUGAGGCGCGAAAGCGUGGGGAGCAAACAGG
rnacentral:rRNA from 1 species